AAACAUAACUACAUAAGCAUUCUAGAUAUGGAGAAGUCAUCCUUGAAGUUGGUUUAUACUUUGACGCUUCUUAUUGUUGCAAUAGAUCUCCUUUGUAUUAAAGCGACAGCUCUAGGUGAAUUAGCAUGUUUAAAGCAUGAAGAUUGUGCCUACUUAGCUGAAGGUCAUCAUUGUAGACCUUAUUGUGACAUGGGAGAAUUUUGUGACUGUUAUCCAUAUACCGACGAAGAUCGUGAUAUUACAAGUACAAACGACGAACAAAAUAUAUCUCCCGUAUAAUUUUUUUCCCCUUAUGUUUUCUUUAUCUUUCUAAAAAGAGAAUAAUCAUAGACUACCCUAUUAUUAAUUGAAUUUUGUAUACAAGGGUAUAGAAAAAUUUAUAAAAGUUUGGUUCUACUA